rnacentral:rRNA from 1 species
UACGUAGGGGGCAAGCGUUGUCCGGAUUUAUUGGGCGUAAAGAGCGUGUAGGCGGCUUGGUAGGUCCGCUGUGAAAACUCGAGGCUCAACCUCGAGAUGUCGGCGGAAACCACUUGGCUAGAGUCCGGAAGAGGAGAGUGGAAUUCCUGGUGUGGCGGUGAAAUGCGCAGAUAUCAGGAAGAACACCUAUGGCGAAGGCAGCUCUCUGGGACGGUACUGACGCUGAGACGCGAAAGCGUGGGGAGCGAACAGG